GGAAUUUAGCUUAGUGGCACAGCGCCUGCCUGGCAAGCACGAGGUCCUGAGUUCGAUUCCCAGUACCA
rnacentral:tRNA from 1 species